CACGUAGGGUGCGAGCGUUGUCCGGAAUUAUUGGGCGUAAAGAGCUCGUAGGCGGUCUGUCGCGUCGGCUGUGAAAACCUGAGGCUCAACCUCGGGCCUGCAGUCGAUACGGGCAGACUAGAGUUCGGUAGGGGAGACUGGAAUUCCUGGUGUAGCGGUGAAAUGCGCAGAUAUCAGGAGGACACCGGUGGCGAAGGCGGGUCUCUGGGCCGAAACUGACGCUGAGGAGCGAAAGCGUGGGGAGCAAACAGG
rnacentral:rRNA from 1 species